UAUCUUUUGGUGUUUCGCACGUAAAAUUUUGAUUUUUAAGGAGACCCUAUCGUCAAAGAUGC
rnacentral:tRNA from 1 species